CCCUUAGACGUUCUGGGCCGCACGCGCGCUACACUGACCAGUGCAACAAGCAUCCGUCCUUGGCCGACAGGCCCGGGCAAUCUUUGAACGCUGGUCGUGAUGGGGAUAGACUUUUGCAAUUUUUGGUCUUCAACGAGGAAUUCCUAGUAAACGCAAGUCAUCAACUUGCGUUGAUUACGUCCCUGCCCUUUGUACACACCGCCCGUCGCACCUACCGAUUGAAUGGUCCGGUGAAGCCUCCGGAUUGGCGCGCACCUCGGUGCCGCCGAGAAGUUGGCUAAACCUUACCAUUUAGAGGAAGGUGAAGUCGUAACA
rnacentral:rRNA from 1 species